UAACCCUGCUGGUUACUCCAUGGGUUAUUCUGCUGAUUUUUGGGACAAAACCUCGAAAUAUGUCCCGGCUGAUCACAUGUGUAACAUACCCCAGUGUUACCACGAUUGUUGGCUUGGCCUCCAAGUCCUCGCCCUUUUCCUUUGUAAGAUCUUGGACGCUUGUUGAAAUUUGGCCUUUCUCCUUGGCUAAACUUGGUGUGUCCAC
rnacentral:lncRNA from 1 species